CAGAUAGCAUGCCAUGUCUAAGUAUAAGCAAUUAUACCGUGAAACUGCGAAUGGCUCAUUAAAUCAGUUAUCGUUUAUUUGAUAGUACCUUACUACUUGGAUAACCGUGGUAAUUCUAGAGCUAAUACAUGCUAAAAACCCCAACUUCGGGAGGGGUGUAUUUAUUAGAUAAAAAACCAAUGCCCUUCGGGGCUCCUUGGUGAUUCAUAAUAACUUAACGGAUCGCAUGGCCUUGCGCCGGCGACGGUUCAUUCAAAUUUCUGCCCUAUCAACUUUCGAUGGUAAGGUAUUGGCUUACCAUGGUUUCAACGGGUAACGGGGAAUUAGGGUUCGAUUCCGGAGAGGGAGCCUGAGAAACGGCUACCACAUCCAAGGAAGGCAGCAGGCGCGCAAAUUACCCAAUCCCGACACGGGGAGGUAGUGACAAUAAAUACUGAUACAGGGCUCUUUUGGGUCUUGUAAUCGGAAUGAGUACAAUUUAAACCCCUUAACGAGGAACAAUUGGAGGGCAAGUCUGGUGAACGUUCAGUUCUUUUCUGCUGACGCCAGAGAUAGUCGGGUGCCUCUCGGGGCAUUAUGCCGGCUAGUCGAGCACCCACUGAUCUGAUGGGGGGGUGCCGGCAAGACAACCUGGAUCGGGGAAGGCUAAGGCGCAAGCUAAGCUGAUCCCGAGCAGAGCUAUCGUAGAGCGAUCUACGAGACAGCCUGUGUAGAGCACGGUAAGGUGUCGGCUAGCUCACGUAGCUAGCUUAAGGGACGUGCCAUUCCCACCCGAAAGGGUGGCCGCCAGCAAUAGCGCCCAUCUCGCGAAGGCUGGCGGGUCUGAAGCCUAUUCAGAUGUUCUUGAAGGCCAGCAGCCGCGGUAAUUCCAGCUCCAAUAGCGUAUAUUAAAGUUGUUGCAGUUAAAAAGCUCGUAGUUGAACCUUGGGCCUGGCUGGCCGGUCCGCCUCACCGCGUGUACUGGUCCGGCCGGGCCUUUCCUUCUGGAGAUCCUCAUGCCCUUCACUGGGUGUGUUGGGGAACCAGGACUUUUACUGUGAACAAAUUAGAGUGUUCAAAGCAGGCCUUUGCUCGAAUACAUUAGCAUGGAAUAAUAGAAUAGGACGUGCGGUCCUAUUUUGUUGGUUUCUAGGACCGCCGUAAUGAUUAAUAGGGAUAGUCGGGGGCAUCAGUAUUCAAUUGUCAGAGGUGAAAUUCUUGGAUUUAUUGAAGACUAACUACUGCGAAAGCAUUUGCCAAGGAUGUUUUCAUUAAUCAGUGAACGAAAGUUAGGGGAUCGAAGACGAUCAGAUACCGUCGUAGUCUUAACCGUAAACUAUGCCGACUAGGGAUCGGGCGAUGUUUCUAUCUUGACUCGCUCGGCACCUUACGAGAAAUCAAAGUUUUGGUCUGGGG
rnacentral:rRNA from 1 species